GGGGGCGCCUUGGUUUCGACGAGGAUACUGACGCUGUCCGGUGCAUGCCGAGGUGCAGUCACCUCGUAAAUCCGCUGCAAUCAAUUAAACGCCAACAACAAGCGUUUCGCUCUCGCGGCUUAAUCCCGCGGGAUGCUGCACUGAUUUGACUUUGGGUCAGGCAGGGCAACCUGCUGCAGCAUCAAAUUACAAAGCCUAGGUUCGCCGGCUGUCGUCGACGGCGUUCCGAAACUUAGAUGACUGGGCAGCCGCUGGCCCGCCGAUUGGCAAAACGGCUGUCGAGAUCCAAAUCAUUCGGCUACGCAUGUAGAUCCGCCAGAAAACGAUUUUCGGACGCGGGUUCAACUCCCGCCGCCUCCACCA
rnacentral:tmRNA from 1 species